rnacentral:rRNA from 1 species
UACAGAGGCCUCGAGCGUUAGGCGGAAUCACUGGGCUUAAAGCGUGUGUAGGCGGAUGUCUAAGUGCUUUGUGAAAUCCCACGGCUCAACCGUGGAAUUGCUUGGCAUACUGGAUGUCUUGAGCCAUCUAGGGGCGAGCGGAACAAGUGGUGGAGCGGUGAAAUGCGUAGAUAUCACUUGGAACGCCAACGGUGAAAACAGCUCGCUGGGGGAUGAUGCUGACGCUGAGACACGAAAGCCAGGGGAGCGAACGGG